UUCUCACUUUGCUGUCUAACCUGACAACUGUACAAUGCUUGUCAUCAAAUUUGUAUUAGGGUUGUUGCGCAACAAUUGAUGCCUGGCACCUGGACCGAGGAGACUGGCUUGGACAUUGAGGGUGUUCCACAACAACUAUAUGGCAUCGACUGUGGAGUCUUUAUGGUCAUGUACUCCUGGUACAUUACCAUGGACGCGCACUUCGAUUUCAACGUUUUGGAUAUGCCUCAUCUCAGGAGGUGGUGGUGCAAGCUCCUUUUGGACAACUACGGGAUUGAAGGGUAUGGAUCUUAACCUACAAAUGCAAAAUAAAUACAUUUUUCAUGUUGGCUUGGCAACCCUGUGUGUGUGUGUGUGUGUGUGUGUGUGUGUGUGUGUGUGUGUGUGUGUGUGUGUGUGUGUGUGUGUGUGUGUGUGUGUGUGUGUGUGUGUGUGUGUGUGUGUGUGUGUGUGUGUGUGUGUGUGCGCGUGCUGGUCUUUAUCACGUCAUGGGGACAUCAAUCUGUAAACACAGUCACCUCAUGGGGACCUCUUGCAGUGUGGGGACAAAAAAGCAGGUCCCCAUAAGGAUAACCCAUUACAAUGAAUACAGGAACUUUUUCUAAAGGUGCCUGUGUGGUUUUUAGCCAUGGCCCAUAACACACAUUUACCGGUAGGUGUGUGAGUGUUUGGGAGGGUGCCAAGUUGCGCCCCUAAAGGUUUGCGGCUGUAAGUGCACUCACUGCGCCAAACACGGAUUCCAAAUAUGGUUGGGUACCGCCCACUUCCAGGUAGGUACCCGCUAGCAGUAACUGUGCCUGACUGUUCGCUGGUCUGGUAAAUUGCUUGGAGCUCAUUAAGGAUUGAUACGGCGAUUUAAGGAGAUAAUGACAGAAGAACUUUUUCUAAGGA